rnacentral:rRNA from 1 species
UACGAAGGGUGCAAGCGUUACUCGGAAUUACUGGGCGUAAAGCGUGCGUAGGUGGUUUGUUAAGUCUGAUGUGAAAGCCCUGGGCUCAACCUGGGAAUUGCAUUGGAUACUGGCAGGCUAGAGUGCGGUAGAGGAUGGCGGAAUUCCCGGUGUAGCAGUGAAAUGCGUAGAGAUCCGGCGGAACACCGGUGGCGCAGGCGGCGCCCUGGGCCGAGCCCGACGCUGAGGCGCGAGAGCGUGGGGAGCGAACCGG